UCCUACGGGUGGCUGCAGUAGGGAAUCUUCCACAAUGGACGAAAGUCUGAUGGAGCAACGCCGCGUGAACGAUGAAGGCUUUCGGGUCGUAAAGUUCUGUUGUAAGGGAAGAACAAGUGCCGCAGGCAAUGGCGGCACCUUGACGGUACCUUGCGAGAAAGCCACGGCUAACUACGUGCCAGCAGCCGCGGUAAUACGUAGGUGGCAAGCGUUGUCCGGAAUUAUUGGGCGUAAAGCGCGCGCAGGCGGCCUCUUAAGUCUGAUGUGAAAGCCCCCGGCUCAACCGGGGAGGGCCAUUGGAAACUGGGAGGCUUGAGUAUAGGAGAGAAGAGUGGAAUUCCACGUGUAGCGGUGAAAUGCGUAGAGAUGUGGAGGAACACCAGUGGCGAAGGCGACUCUUUGGCCUAUAACUGACGCUGAGGCGCGAAAGCGUGGGGAGCAAACAGGAUUAGAUACCCUUGUAGUCACC
rnacentral:rRNA from 1 species